UACAGAGGUCCCGAGCGUUGUUCGGAUUCAUUGGGCGUAAAGGGUGCGUAGGCGGUCUGCUAAGUUUGGUGUGAAAUCCCGGGGCUCAACCCUGGAAUGGCAUUGAAUACUGGCGGACUAGAGUACCGGAGAGGAAACUGGAAUUUACGGUGUAGCAGUGAAAUGCGUAGAGAUCGUAAGGAAGACCAGUGGCGAAGCGAGUUUCUGGACGGUAACUGACGCUGAGGCACGAAGGCCAGGGGAGCAAACGGG
rnacentral:rRNA from 1 species